GUAGGGAAUAUUGCACAAUGGGCGAAAGCCUGAUGCAGCAACGCCGCGUGCGCGAAGAAGGUCUUCGGAUCGUAAAGCGCUUUUUGGGGAGAUGAGGAAGGACAGUAUCCCCAGAAUAAGGCUCGGCUAACUACGUGCCAGCAGCCGCGGUAAAACGUAGGAGCCAAGCGUUAUCCGAAUUCACUGGGCGUAAAGCGCGUGCAGGCGGUCUGGUAAGUUGGAUGUGAAAUCUCCUGGCUCAACUGGGAGGGGCCGUUCAAUACUGUCAGACUAGAGGGCGACAGAGGGAGGUAGAAUUCCCGGUGUAGUGGUGAAAUGCGUAGAUAUCGGGAGGAAUACCAGAGGCGAAGGCGACCUUCUGGGUCGCACCUGACGCUCAGACGCGAAAGCUAGGGGAGCAAACGGGAUUAGAAACCCCAGUAGUCC
rnacentral:rRNA from 1 species